CACGGUGAAAUACCGGUUCCCAUAUGAUCAUCGAAGGUAAGCAACGUCGAGCUUGGUCAGUACCUUGAUGGGUGACCGUUUUUUAAUACUAG